rnacentral:rRNA from 1 species
UACGUAGGUGGCGAGCGUUAUUCGGAUUUAUUGGGCGUAAAGGGUUCGUAGGGGGUUUGUUAAGUCUGAUGUGAAAUCCCGAGGCUCAACCUCGGAACUGCAUUGGAAACUAACUUACUAGAGCAUAGGAGAGGAGAGUGGAAUUCCUGGUGUAGCGGUGGAAUGCGUAGAUAUCAGGAGGAACACCGAUGGCGAAGGCAGCUCUCUGGCCUAUUGCUGACCCUGAGGGACGAAAGCUAGGGGAGCAAACAGG